GCAAGACAGAGUGAAAUAAAAUAGAAUAAAUUAAAAUGAAAUAAUUUAAAAAAUUAGAGCAUUAGCAAAGGUAACUAGGCCACUUUAAAUAUACAAAUAAACUCUUACAAUUUUUUUUGUUAUUUUUAGAAAAAAGUUUACACUUCCUUCACCUUUUAGGAGUGAAAGGAGCAAAGGAAGUAAGAAAGGCUUGGGCCGGAUGUGGUGGCUCAUGCCUGUAAUCUCAGCACUUUGGGAUGCCGAGUCGGUGGAUCACCUGAGGUCAGGAGUUCGAGACCAGCCUGGCCAACAUGGUGAAACCCUCGUCACUACUAAAAAUACAAAAAAUUAGCUGGGCAUGGUGGUGGACACCUGUAAUCCCAGCUACUAGGGAGGCUGAGGCAGGAGAAUUGCUUGAACUCUGGAGGCAGAGGCUGCAGUGAGCCCAGAUCAUGCCACUGCACUCCAGCCUGGGCAACAACAGGAAAACUCCAUCUCAAAAAGAAAAAAAAAAAGAAAAAAAGAAGAAGAGGAGACUCAGUGGUCAGCGGAAACUUGAUGAUAGCAUAGUGGUCAAGCUUGUUUCUCCUGGGAGCGCUCUUCCGAGGAUAUUUGGGCUGUCUCCGGAGUCGCAGUGUCUUCGGCCGCCGGAAGGUGGGUGACGUGCGGAUCUUCUUCUUUUUGUGGCUGUGGACACCUUUCAACACUGCCUUCUUGGCCUUUAAAGCCUUCGCUUUGGCUUCAGCUUUAGGAGGGGCAGGAGCUUCCUUCUUCGCUUUCGGCGCCAUGUUGUGAAAA
rnacentral:lncRNA from 1 species